AAGGACAGAGCUGGGCAGCUUGUAACAUGGCUUCUCCAGGGCAGGUGGCAGCUCCUCCCUGC
rnacentral:miRNA from 1 species